rnacentral:misc_RNA from 1 species
UGAAUUCCUUGAAGAGGUUUUACCAGAGAUGUCAUCCAGUGUUGAGGACCACCAGAAACCACUGCCGAGGUUCGAAGUUAAGUACAGUGCCCCAUCUGCUAAAAUCAAGAACCAGGUAAUUUCCCACGAUGGGAAAAUCCAACAGUGUGUAGAAUAUCAAGGUAGAUUGCAGUGGGUAUGAGUAUCUUGACAAUUGACAUCAAAAUUAAGUUUUGUGGGUUGGGUUGGGUUUCACUAUUAAUCCUGUAGCACUAAUACAUUGUUAGCUCAUACAAAGCUAAUUCCUUUUUAUCAGAUUUGUGGUUCGUAAAUUAUGGCAUGAAUUGUGGAAACCCUGCUCCCACAUUGUAUUAGUAUGUGUAUUACAAAGGCUUUUUACAAUAUCGG